rnacentral:misc_RNA from 1 species
CUGAGAACUUGCCCUUAGGGGUAGAUCUCCCACCCUAUGUUUACAUACUUUGUUGCUUUGGCAGGCCUGCCUCUGUGCUACUGGCCUUGGCUAGUUAGUGCCUGCCAGAGAACCAAAACCCUGAAUCACAUAAUGUCAAGAGUACUAUAUAAUAGUUA